rnacentral:rRNA from 1 species
UACAGAGGGGGCGAGCGUUGUUCGGAAUUACUGGGCGUAAAGGGCGCGUAGGCGGCCUCUUAAGUCGAACGUGAAAUCCCCGGGCUCAACCCGGGAACUGCGUCCGAUACUGGGGGGCUUGAAUCCGGGAGAGGGAUGUGGAAUUCCAGGUGUAGCGGUGAAAUGCGUAGAUAUCUGGAGGAACACCGGUGGCGAAGGCGGCAUCCUGGACCGGUAUUGACGCUGAGGCGCGAAAGCCAGGGGAGCAAACGGG